rnacentral:piRNA from 1 species
UNGAUGCUUUAAAAUAAUCAUGAUCUGGAG